rnacentral:rRNA from 1 species
AGAGUUUGAUCCUGGCUCAGAAUGAACGCUGGCGGCAGGCCUAACACAUGCAAGUCGAACGGAUCCUUCGGGAUUAGUGGCGGACGGGUGAGUAACGCGUGGGAACGUGCCCUUUGGUUCGGAAUAGCCUCGGGAAACUGGGAGUAAUACCGAAUGUGCCCUUCGGGGGAAAGAUUUAUCGCCAAAGGAUCGGCCCGCGUUGGAUUAGGUAGUUGGUGGGGUAAUGGCCUACCAAGCCGACGAUCCAUAGCUGGUUUGAGAGGAUGAUCAGCCACACUGGGACUGAGACACGGCCCAGACUCCUACGGGAGGCAGCAGUGGGGAAUCUUAGACAAUGGGGGAAACCCUGAUCUAGCCAUGCCGCGUGAUCGAUGAAGGCCUUAGGGUUGUAAAGAUCUUUCAGAUGGGAAGAUAAUGACGGUACCAUCAGAAGAAGCCCCGGCUAACUCCGUGCCAGCAGCCGCGGUAAUACGGAGGGGGCUAGCGUUAUUCGGAAUUACUGGGCGUANAGCGCACGUAGGCGGAUCAGAAAGUCAGAGGUGAAAUCCCAGGG